rnacentral:rRNA from 1 species
AGGAUGAACGCUGGCGGCGUGCCUAAUACAUGCAAGUCGAGCGAACGGACGAGAAGCUUGCUUCUCUGAUGUUAGCGGCGGACGGGUGAGUAACACGUGGAUAACCUACCUAUAAGACUGGGAUAACUUCGGGAAACCGGAGCUAAUACCGGAUAAUAUUUUGAACCGCAUGGUUCAAAAGUGAAAGACGGUCUUGCUGUCACUUAUAGAUGGAUCCGCGCUGCAUUAGCUAGUUGGUAAGGUAACGGCUUACCAAGGCAACGAUGCAUAGCCGACCUGAGAGGGUGAUCGGCCACACUGGAACUGAGACACGGUCCAGACUCCUACGGGAGGCAGCAGUAGGGAAUCUUCCGCAAUGGGCGAAAGCCUGACGGAGCAACGCCGCGUGAGUGAUGAAGGUCUUCGGAUCGUAAAACUCUGUUAUUAGGGAAGAACAUAUGUGUAAGUAACUGUGCACAUCUUGACGGUACCUAAUCAGAAAGCCACGGCUAACUACGUGCCAGCAGCCGCGGUAAUACGUAGGUGGCAAGCGUUAUCCGGAAUUAUUGGGCGUAAAGCGCGCGUAGGCGGUUUUUUAAGUCUGAUGUGAAAGCCCACGGCUCAACCGUGGAGGGUCAUUGGAAACUGGAAAACUUGAGUGCAGAAGAGGAAAGUGGAAUUCCAUGUGUAGCGGUGAAAUGCGCAGAGAUAUGGAGGAACACCAGUGGCGAAGGCGACUUUCUGGUCUGUAACUGACGCUGAUGUGCGAAAGCGUGGGGAUCAAACAGGAUUAGAUACCCUGGUAGUCCACGCCGUAAACGAUGAGUGCUAAGUGUUAGGGGGUUUCCGCCCCUUAGUGCUGCAGCUAACGCAUUAAGCACUCCGCCUGGGGAGUACGACCGCAAGGUUGAAACUCAAAGGAAUUGACGGGGACCCGCACAAGCGGUGGAGCAUGUGGU